rnacentral:rRNA from 1 species
UACGUAGGCAGCGAGCGUUGUUCGGAGUUACUGGGCGUAAAGGGUGUGUAGGCGGUUGUUUAAGUUUGGUGUGAAAUCUCCCGGCUCAACUGGGAGGGUGCGCCGAAUACUGAGUGACUAGAGUGCGGGAGAGGAAAGUGGAAUUCCUGGUGUAGCGGUGAAAUGCGUAGAUAUCAGGAGGAACACCGGUGGUGUAGACGGCUUUCCGGACCGUAACUGACGCUGGGACACGAAAGCGUGGGUAGCAAACAGG